AUUGAACGCUGGCGGCAUGCCUUACACAUGCAAGUCGAACGGCAGCACGGGUGCUUGCACCUGGUGGCGAGUGGCGAACGGGUGAGUAGUACAUCGAAACGUACCUUAUCGUGGGGGAUAACGCAGCGAAAGCUGUGCUAAUACCGCAUACGCCCUGAGGGGGAAAGCGGGGGAUCGCAAGACCUCGCGCGAUUAGAGCGGCCGAUGCCUGAUUAGCUUGUUGGUGGGGUAAAAGCCCACCAAGGCGACGAUCAGUAGCUGGUCUGAGAGGACGAUCAGCCACACUGGGACUGAGACACGGCCCAGACUCCUACGGGAGGCAGCAGUGGGGAAUUUUGGACAAUGGGGGCAACCCUGAUCCAGCAAUGCCGCGUGAGUGAGGAAGGCCUUCGGGUUGUAAAGCUCUUUUGUCAGGGAAGAAACACCGGCUCUAACACAGUCCGGGAAUGACGGUACCUGAAGAAUAAGCACCGGCUAACUACGUGCCAGCAGCCGCCGUAA
rnacentral:rRNA from 1 species